UGGGGAAUAUUGCACAAUGGGCGCAAGCCUGAUGCAGCCAUGCCGCGUGUAUGAAGAAGGCCUUCGGGUUGUAAAGUACUUUCAGUCGGGAGGAAGGUGUUAAGGUUAAUAACCUUGACAAUUGACGUUACCGACAGAAGAAGCACCGGCUAACUCCGUGCCAGCAGCCGCGGUAAUACGGAGGGUGCAAGCGUUAAUCGGAAUUACUGGGCGUAAAGCGCACGCAGGCGGUUGAUUGAGUCAGAUGUGAAAUCCCCGGGCUUAACCCGGGAAUUGCAUCUGAUACUGGUCAGCUAGAGUCUUGUAGAGGGGGGUAGAAUUCCAUGUGUAGCGGUGAAAUGCGUAGAGAUGUGGAGGAAUACCGGUGGCGAAGGCGGCCCCCUGGACAAAGACUGACGCUCAGGUGCGAAAGCGUGGGGAACAAACA
rnacentral:rRNA from 1 species